AGGUAGAAGGCCCACGGUCGUAACUCCUUUUCUCAGAGAAGAAGCAAUGACGGUAUCUGAGGAAUAAGCAUCGGCUAACUCUGUGC
rnacentral:rRNA from 1 species